rnacentral:misc_RNA from 1 species
UACGGAGGGUGCAAGCGUUGUCCGGAUUUAUUGGGUGUAAAGCACAUGUAGGUGGUUUUGUAAGUCUUGUCUUAAAGCUCUGGGCUCAACCCAGAAUCUGGACGAGAUACUAUAAGGCUAGUGGUCAGCAGGGGCAAACAGAAUUCCCGGUGUAGGAGUGAAAUCCGUUGAUAUCGGGAGGAAUACCAAUGGCGAAGGCAGUUUGCUAGGCUGAUUCAGACACUGAGAUGUGAAAGCGUGGGGAGCGAACGGG